rnacentral:lncRNA from 1 species
AAUGAAUAACAGAAAUAGAAAAUCUCAGUGCUUUUUACUGCAUAAGAAAAAAAUGUGAAAUCCCAUUUAAAAUGUUUCCCAUUAUUUAUAAAGGGAAUUUAUCAUAGAGGCUUGGCAGGUUUGAUGAUCAGUGUCAUAUCAAAGACAGCAUUUUAUAACCCAUUUCUCAAACAUCAUCUGUGAAAGUUAAGAACCUCCAAUGAGUUUCCCAUAGAGCUGCACGUGAUACCACACUCAGGCAGGUCAUGGGGUAUUAAAAAUACCUUAAUGCUAUUGUUUGACAUUUUGACAAAGGGAAAAAACCCACACUUUUGUAAGUUCAGCCUACUGUGAUAUUUUUCUCUAUCUUCCUUCUUCUUCAGAUACCUCCGUGGCAUCUUGAUAGAAAAUACAGCUCGUGUUCCACCAUAUUGCUAGAUAACAGCACAGUCAGCAAGCCCAAUCUCAGCCACAUACUAGAUAGCAUUGCUUUGGCAAUAUAUUACAUCAUAAAGCACAGCAAGAAAAGAUUCCAGGGAAUUCCUUUGAGGAUGAUCCCACAUGCAAAUGCAUUUUUGAUUAUUUAUUUCAUCUUUUUAUACACAUAGAACCAAAACUAAAUACUCAAUGUGUGAUCGUAGCAUUGGUAAGCUAUUUCUUAUCUGUAAAGCAUCUUUAAUAACUGGUCUCCUACACAGCAUAUGGCCCUAAAUAAAAGUCAGUUCCUAAAGUUAUCAUCAGAUCUUUUAAGAGAAACCUAUGCAAGCAAAGUAAAUACACAUCUUAGAGUUUAAUCAUCAUCAGGUUUUAAAAUGAUGCCAUUGCUUUUCUUAUCACAGAGUAAUUGCUACUAAAAGCAGCAAGAGAGACUUCUGGUUUCUCCCUCAACAGAUUCCAAUGUAGGUCUAGGAAGAGACAGCAGGGAGCCCGCCUGUGAGAGAAAUGAAGGAAAGAAUGGAAGAGAUGAGGCCGCACAGGCGGUGCCGUAGCUCACAGGGCCCUUUGGCUUGCAGAGCAGAGGAUGAAGUUAAGGUUUUAUUUCAGUUUGAAGCGGGGACUAAUGGUAGAUCUUGAGCAGGGGAGUGCAGUGUUCUUAAUUUAGAGGUUAUCCCAACUGCUUUGGGGAGAGUAGACCAUAGCUGGGAGGAGGGUUGGGGCAGAGAAGAGGACUAAGAAGCAACUAGGCUGUUACAGGUGAGCCGUGACACAUGGCAGCCCAGAAUCUGAUGCAGUCAGCCUACCAGUGAAGGUAGCCAUAGAGGGAUCGCACACGGAUUGGAGGAGGGUAACUCACAUGUAAGUAUUAGUCCCCAGGAGCUAGGCCAAUGGCAAUUCCCUGGACAAGAUUAGGGCCAGGUUGGGGAGUGGAGCCUUGGGGUGAAGGGCUCUGGUUUGUGGGUGUGAAGGCUCCAGGGACCUCAGCAAGAGG